AGCAGCAACCAGAUCGUGCAAUUUCGCCAACUGGUGUCAGCUUUCCAGUAGUGUACAUGGUGUGCCUUAUAGAAUGACGGCACCAGUGAUAAAAUGUCCCCCAUGGAGAGUCGUGACUGAUAUCCUAACUUCUCUAAACUCCCAUAAACGUUGUAACGCUGGGACAUGGCGCGGCUCACGUGUUCCGCGUCUCUCUGUGAAUAGCUAGAAUUUCACUGACCACUCCAAGAAAUACACUCCGGGCUAAUCACUCCCUCCAGCUCACUACACAUGGGGCUAAUGAGUCCCCAAAUGUCUAUACUUGUCUCAGGGUUUAUUUACUAAGCAGUGAACUCUAGUGAAUUGCAAUGAUUCAGCUACAGCCACAGCUCGGAUGUUUUAGUCUAAACUUUGCAAUCUGAUUUCUGACUUCAAAUAACUGAGUUCACUUGGAUUCUGACCUUAGUGAGUAACCCUGUCAAUGUAUUUAAUGUAAGAAUCGAGAAACUGCAUAUAUUUUAUCUUAACAUCUACAAAAACGAAAACGAAAGCACUGUGAGCCUUACUAGUUAGGUGUUCCUUUACACCGGAGGCUAAAAUGCAAAUGUCUUAUUUUGGAAAGAGAUUUUUACUAGAGCAUUUUAAACUGGUAAAAACCUGGAAAUGUCACCGGUUAGAUUUGAGCAGAGCCUAACAGCCAACUCAAGGUUUCUAUAAGUAAACAUUGCUAUAAUGAACGUUCGCUAUUGCUUGCGCUAAACCUUUUUUUUACCUUUUCUAUUUUAAUUAGAUACUUUGUCAGUCUAGGCCAUGCAAACUAGGUAUAUUGGCUAACUCUUGCAGUGCUGUCUGUAAGGUCAGUGUGUGCUGGAGAAAAUUCUACGCUGAAUGAAAACUGUUUCCUAAUUCCUCCACCUUGCCCCAAUACUAUGAUGCUGCUUAGUCCGCCAUGAUGGGAGACUGAUACCCAAAUUCCCCACGCUGCUAUCUCGAAGUCCACAAAUGAAUGAUUCAAUUUAAUAAGAUAUAUCCUAAAAAGGCACACUGCCGCUGUCUGUCCAAAACAGAGGAACAAUCAGAUACCUAUAUAUCCAUCACGUUACCUGACAAGGGCUAUUCACCAGAUAAGUAGCCAUGAGACAACGGUUAUGAGAAGCGGCUACACUUUGCAUAGAGAACACAGCCGUGGGUCAGUUUGCAUGUUUUGUGGUUACUUUUUUUUUUUUUUUUUUCUUUAAUUUUCUCCAACCUUGUAAAGCGUCAUUUAAUUUGGGCUCUCCAGCGAGGAUGGUCCGAGAGGUUAUGAACCCUCAGGGUUUUUCCAUUUACAGGUAAACCGAUACUGUGGCAGGGCACAGUGACUGUCGAAAAUGACGAAGGUUUCAGGAUUGGGUACUGAAUUCACCACGCUGUCGUACAAUUCGAGAUCAUCUGAACCCACAGGUGGAGGCAGGAUGUAAGACCGGUUACCCAUGGUAAAUCUGCCCGUCACGACUUCUGCCUGGAAAAUAUAAACCAGACAGUCGGCUUCUCGGGGUUUGGGUUUUCCUUUCGUUAUGUCUGCAAGGUUUUUCUUGAAAUAAAUUCCUGCUCCGUAGUCGCAAUCUGAAAGAGAGAUGAAAAGCCGGUAGUGAAACAUUGGGAACAUGUUGUAUAUAAGGACUAUACGGACUGGACGUGACACAGGGUCUGACCAGAAAUAGAUAAAGAAAUUAUUACUGACGCUUCGUGUCAACUGAAAGCCCAAACCUAACAAGUUCAAAUGUUCCAUGCUUCCACGAAUUU